rnacentral:rRNA from 1 species
CCCUUAGAUGUUCGGGGCCGCACGCGCGCUACACUGUUCGACGCAGCGAGUCUUAACCUUGACCGAAAGGUUUGGGUAAUCUUCAGCAAAGUCGAACGUGAUGGGGAUCGAUCAUUGCAAUUAUUGAUCGUGAACGAGGAAUUCCUAGUAAGUGCAAGUCAUCAGCUUGCGCUGAUUACGUCCCUGCCCUUUGUACACACCGCCCGUCGUUACUACCGAUUGAAUGGUUUAGUGAGAUCUCUGGAUUGACGCUGGCUAGGGGGCGACCCUUGGCCAGGCUGUCGAGAAACUGCUCAAACUUGAUCAUUUAGAGGAAGUAAAAGUCGUAACA